rnacentral:rRNA from 1 species
UCAACGGAGAGUUUGAUCCUGGCUCAGGACGAACGCUGGCGGCGUGCUUAACACAUGCAAGUCGAACGGUAAGGCUCUUCGGAGUACACGAGUGGCGAACGGGUGCGUAACACGUGACCAACCUACCCUUAACAUCGGGAUAACAUUUGGAAACAGAUGCUAAUACCGAAUACGAACUUGGAAGGCAUCUUCCGAGUUGGAAAGCUCCGGCGGUUAGGGAUGGGGUCGCGGCCUAUCAGCUUGUUGGUGAGGUAAUGGCUCACCAAGGCGACGACGGGUAGCCGGCCUGAGAGGGCGACCGGCCACACUGGGACUGAGAUACGGCCCAGACUCCUACGGGAGGCAGCAGUGGGGAAUAUUG